rnacentral:rRNA from 1 species
AUUGAACGCUGGCGGCAGGCCUAACACAUGCAAGUCGAACGGUAACAGGAAACAGCUUGCUGUUUCGCUGACGAGUGGCGGACGGGUGAGUAAUGUCUGGGAAACUGCCUGAUGGAGGGGGAUAACUACUGGAAACGGUAGCUAAUACCGCAUAACGUCGCAAGACCAAAGAGGGGGACCUUCGGGCCUCUUGCCAUCGGAUGUGCCCAGAUGGGAUUAGCUAGUAGGCGGGGUAACGGGUCACCUAGGCGACGAUCCCUAGCUGGUCUGAGAGGAAGACCAGCCACACUGGAACUGAGACACGGUCCAGACUCCUACGGGAGGCAGCAGUGGGGAAUAUUGCACAAUGGGCGCAAGCCUGAUGCAGCCAUGCCGCGUGUAUGAAGAAGGCCUUCGGGUUGUAAAGUACUUUCAGCGGGGAGGAAGGGAGUAAAGUCAAUACCUUUGCUCAUUGACGUUACCCGCAGAAGAAGCACCGGCUAACUCCGUGCCAGCCGCCGCGGUAA